rnacentral:lncRNA from 1 species
UGGCUGGGUUUCAAACUGUGCUUUUUCCCUCCAGGGGGAAGGGGGAUAUGAAUGCAGGAGUGUGACAGUAUUUCUUGUUCCUUCCCAGAUCUAGGAAAUGCUCUCUGUGAUCUUACAGACAGCUCUCUGAAGGAACCUUGUUACUCUAUCAUGCCUCAUUUAUUCUUCUGUCCUUUCUCUCACGUUGGCACUUGGCACCAUGUGACAUUAUAAUUUAGAUUUAUUUGUUGAGGUGGCUUUUGUUUUGUUUUUUAGUGGUGGCAGAAACUAUGUUUAAUGUGCUGCUCUUUCUCAGCACCUGGAACAAUACCUGUUAUUUGCCAUAUGGAUUAAAUAAAUUUUUACUGGACAAACAUAGAGAUCUGCUUGACUGUAAUAUCUCAGUCUGCUCAAGCCUGUGCCCUGCAUUGCUGCAGAUCCUAAGGAUUGAAAGGCUCAACCCCUGCCUGAGCAAAGCAGAGCACUUUCUGUCUCUCACUCAUUGACUGCCCACUUUACAGAAACAGACGUGGUGACUGUGAAGCCCUUAUCACCCUUAUAGUAUGGUUCCUAUUCCCGAACAAUUUUUGACCACUGUGCAGUUCAGCUAGGGUGUCCUUCUGUGUCAAAGUUAUCCUUACAGUCCUGGAAAUGCUGAAGAAAGCCAGGUUUGAAAAACUCUCAUUUGGUCUAUAAAACUAAUCAUCUGUGAGAGGAAAUCAUCUUAAGCAGAGAAAACUCAAUCAGCAAGUUUAUUUCAAUAAGUGAGACUGAAUGUAGACAUUCAAUGCAAACUAUUUGACUGUGCUAAAUGCCCAGUAAAUCCUUAAAAAAUAGAUCAAAACUAGGUCCCUUUUCAUUUCUCUUCCUUGGAAAUAACUGAACUCAGUAUUAAGUUUGCCUUGAGAAAAUAAGAGAAAACAUAACAAGCUAGCUGAUGUGCUUCUGCAGGCCCUUCUGGGUCAGAGUAGCAUUCUAGGUACCUAAGUUCUAGUGGCGCCACUACUUUGUUGUAUUUUCUUCUGCUGAGAUGAUCUUCAAACCCUUGCCUUAAAACUUUGAUCAAAUGAUACAAACCUCCGGUCCCUCAGCAGUAUCUGGCACCACAUCUGUUUUGUUUGACCUGGAUAUAUUUUCUAUUUAUUGCCAGCAAUUCAAAAUUGGGGAAAUUCACAUUAAAGUUUAUAUUUUCAGGAGUUCCCAUUGUGGCUUAGUGGGUUAGGGACCUGACGUUGUCUCUGUGAGGAGGAGGGGUCAAUCCCUGUCCUCGCUCAGUGAGUUAAGGAUCUGGCAUUGCCACAAGCUGCAGCAUAGGUUGCAGAUGUGGCUCUGGUGUAGGUCUAUAGCUGCAGCUCCAAUUUCACCCCUGGCCUUUGAAUUUCCAUAUGCCAUAAAUGAAUUAGGUGUGGCCAUAAAAGGAAAAAAUAAAAUAAAAUUUGUAUUUCCACUUCUCUUGAAAUAUCAGAGGAUUUGUCUAUAUUGGACCUGUAUGCUCUUAUGAUGAAACAUUAGCUGAAGUUGAACAGUGGCUGCCCUUUAGACAGAGCCUGAAUACUCCAGUUUGCCACAGUCCUCUCCACUCUCUAGUAGUGUCCAUACCUGCUUCCCUCAGUUAUUUGUCUGGUUCCAGCAGAAUUCAGGCAGUAACUGAUUCAGGGUGGGCUUAGAAAAACUACACUCUUGGUCAUCACUUCAUGCCUUUAUACUCUCCUCAAAAUGCUGUGAGUCCAUGCUUUCUGUAGAAAUGCCUGUUUCACUAAGAUGGCCAAACCAAUCAAAGUCUUUGGGAAAGGCUCAAAGAACUGAUUUGGAGACUGGCUUGUUUCUCUGUUUCCAUGGAGAUGGGAAUAUCUAAUUCAGUGCCUUUGAUCAAAGAAGAUAGACUAGCCUUCUCCUUGUUCCUGAUCUUUUUCCCAUCAGGAGGAGGCUUGGUGGAAACUCUCAGCAGACCUUGAACAAACUGUGCUAAUAACGAGAGCCAGCACCUGCUCUCAUGUGUGUGCAGUGGGCUAUGCUCAUUGACUGUCCUCCUUCAGCCCUCCCACUCCUUCUGCUUUUUAACACUCUUCUCCUUUUGCAGCCCAUUUGAGUUGACUUUUAUGUGACCCAGUGGACAGAAACCUUAAUGUCAGUGCCAUUAAAUUGGUACCUACAGAAAUAAUCUAGAAAUGCUAAGCCCUUGCAGGAAGUAUAUUCCAAUUAGUAGUGAUAAAAGUACAGUGAGCUGAAAACAAAAGUGACUUUAGAAAGUGGUAAAGACAAAGAGUUACAGCUCCUCUGGCUCACUUGCAAUAUGCAAGGAGUCCCAAUAAUUAGUCUUCAUGGUUAAAUAUUUCACCUGUUCCUAAAGGAGAGUUUCCCUUGUGUUUUAAUUUAUUUCACCAGGGACAUGAAUGUUUCUUUGCAAGAAUAGGGUUUUAGGAUCCUGGGACUCAGUAUUUGUAUGGUUGUGUGCAUGCCUGAUGCACAAGAGAGAUUGAAUUUUAAUUGCUGUCUUUUCCUAGCUGAAUUUUCAUCUUUCUAGAUCCAAUUUGAAUCAUAUGUGGUUAUAUUAGAUUUGGAAAACUUUGUACAUACUAGGAUGUGUUUUGUAGUUAUCUAUGAAAAAAAACUGUUAACUUAUUUUCCUUUUUACCCAAGUAACUCCUGCUUAUGCUUUAAAACUCUAUUCAAGAAAACUUUAGCAGUUCCCAUCACGGCUCAGUGGAAACAAAUCUAACUGGUAUGGAUGAGGACACAGGUUCAAUCCCUGACCUUGCUCAGUGGGUUAAGGAUCCAGUGUUGCUAUGAGCUGUGGUUUAGGUUGCAGAUGCGGCUCAAUCUGGCAUUGCCGUGGCUGUGGAGUAGGCCAGUGGCUACAGCUCCAAUUUGACCCUAGACUAGGAACCUCCAUGUGCCAUGGUGCAGCCCUAAAAAGACAAAAAAAGAGAAAACUUUAGAGCUCCCACCCUAUCCCUAUCUGAGCUAGGUAUGCCUUCUCUUUGCUCUCAGGAUAUCAUCUGUAAUCCUCCAAUAUACUCUCUUAUGAUCAAUGUUUUGUUUCUGCCAGAUUCUACACAAUUUCUCCUUGAAAGCGUGUUGUUUCUUUCAUCUUUUUACCCUCAGUGCCUAUCACAUAACAGGAGCUUAGAAUAUGAUGACUGAAUAAAUGAGUGAAUAAUUAAAUAAGUGGUUAGAUGAAUAAGUGCCUUUUUUAGUGAUUGCUGAUUAGCAUCAUUUCUGGAUUUUAUGUAUGAUAUCAUGUCAUAUGAUAUAUAUAUAUAUAAAUAUCCUAUAUAUUUUAUAUAUGAUAAAAUAUAUCUUCCACUAUAUCUUCACUUGCUGCUUUGCUUUCACUUUAUGGGUUCCAUAUCCUUAAUUUUAGGUUCUAAUAUAUAGUAUGUUUUAGUUCAACAUAAACAUUAACAUUUUUCAUAUUGUUAAUUGGGAGCGUUCUAUGAAAAAUAUGCAAUGUUGAGAGAAGGACUUGGCCCUAAAGAAAGUGAGAGUAAAAGGAAACGUUUACUCAAACAUUGACAGGCUUGGUUUCAAUAGUGCUGAGGAACCAAAAGAAGUUGCUUUUCCCUCCAGGCCACUUUUCCUGCAGCGAGAAGAUACAAGGAGAUUUGCCAGCUUCUUCCCUGAUUAGGAAUGUCUGUGCAGGGAGUACAAAGGCACCUCAGACUCUGAAUCCUUGGGGCUCACCUGCCUCAUGGACGUCUCUUCUACUGCAUUUUUUUUUUUUAAAUCAAAUACUAAUGCUUUUAGAGAAUGAACCCUCUCUCCAGAGCCAGGUUUUUAUUGUAGCUGUCCAAAUCCUCUAGACAUAUACUCCCUUCACUUUCAUUGUCUCCCUGUCUUACAUUUUUAAAGAAUUUUUAUUCUAGUAUAAUUGAUUUACAGUGUUGUGUCACUUUCUGCUAUACAGCACAGUGACCCAGUCAUACACAUACAUACAUUCUUUCUCUCAUACGAUCUUCUAUCAUGUUCUAGCCCAAGACAUUGGAUAUAGUUCCCUGUCUUAUAUUUUAUUCUGACUGUCACUGCCGUAGAGGUUCAGGGACUUGCCCAAGGUUGCAGAGUUCAAGCCUUCUGCCUUUCAGUUCACUACAACCCCAUCAUUUUGCAGGCACCUUGGCGAUUCCUGUCUCUACCCAUAAUAAAGAUCUUUUUUUAAAGCAUGAUUUAAAAUGAGAGCUUUUGAGUAGAAAAGUCUCCAAAAGCCAAGACCUUUUCUGUAAGGCAAACAUUUAUUGAACUGAAACUUUAAAGAAAGCAUGUUGCUUUUGUUGACAGCCUCAUGCAUCAGAGCUUUGUUUUCCGUGUUACUCUAAAAGCCAGUCAGCUUAAACCUAAGCCUUAAAUGUGUUCAGCACAGGAGUCCUGGCUCUGGGGGCUACACAGAUAAAAUAGUUUCAAAAACACACCACACUUUUAAAAAUACUCCACAAGGUAAAACCAGGUUAGAAGUUUGCCUUGAGCUUUUAGCACAUAGGAAACACAGAGAAAGUCUAAGUUAGCUGUAAAUCUUUGUUUCAGCUUGCACUAUCAGUGUGGAAUUUUAACUCAACAGAGUUGACAUUACUAGAUAAAAUGUAGAUGUUCACAAUAUAAUAAUAUGAUGUAGAAUCAUUUCUAUUUAGUAAAUACUAUGGUGUCACGUGUAUAGAUGAAACAGCUUCUCAUGGAAAACUACAUGAUCUCUAUAGGUCAGAUUAGGGUUUGGAAGGAAUAUUAAGAUAUCAUUCAUUUGUUCAUUCACAAAACAUGUUCUUCCUCAUGCUAUUCAAUAAUCCUUAAUUAUCCCAGACAGAUGAGGAACACUGGUGAUCAUGACUUCCAGAGAAGUUAUUUCUGUUUUGUCUUCAGUAACUCAUUCAAAAAAAGAAAGCAAAACAAAAAUACAACCAACCAAAAGCUUUCUAUAUCUUAAAAUUAUAGGAAAACUGGAGAACAAACGCUAAUUUCCAUUGCAUAAAAGGUCUUCCCCUACUUGGAAGAUCCAUCAUAGAAGUUUCACUUCUAGGGAGUUCCCAUUGUGGCUUAGCAGAAAUGAAUCUGACUGGGAUCCAUGAGGAUGCAGGUUUGAUCCCUGACCUCUAUCCUCAGUGGGUUAAGGAUCCAGCGUUGCUAUCAGCUGUGGUGUAGGUCUCAGAUGUGGCUUGGAUCGGGCGUUGCUGUGGCGUAGGCCAGCAGCUACAGCUCUGAUUCCACCCCUAGCCUGGGAAUCUCCAUAUCCUGCAGGUGCAGCCCU